rnacentral:lncRNA from 1 species
UUCCGUGCUUCCGGCUCGUUUUCGAUGUUGCGACUUUCGAAUCGUCGAUCGGCUCCGUUAAACUUGAUCUAGAAUAUUUGAUGUACCUAGAAAAUAAAUUAUGCAAUUUUUUGAUAUUAUUUGCCUAGUGAACGAAGAGGCUCAAAAUCAACGGCUGAAAAUAAAAAUCUUACAAAACGUGAUAAUAUGACGUUAAAAUUUUAGAUCAAAGAUAUUGAUCUUGUUUUAUAUAGCAUAAAUAAUUUUCUAUAAAAAUUUCACGUGAUUUGGAUAUUUCUACACCGUUAAACUUGCAAACGGCUCACUGCGACUAUUAAAAUUAUUGAUUUUGAGCCCCUUCGAUCACUAGGCAAAUGAUAUCAAAAAAUCAGAAAAUUUAUUUUCUAGGUACUUCAAAUAUUCUGAUCAAAUUUAACAGAGCCGAUCGACGAUUCGAAAGUCGCAACAUCGAAAAUGAGCCGGAAGCACGGAAGGCUUCAUGUUUCCGAUAGCAUAGUAGCCUCACACACACACACACACACACACACACACACACUAUGAGUAGGGCUACUAUACUCUUAUGACUAUAGAACCCUUCGUACUCAUAAGUUGUUUUUGAUAUUGGGGUUUAUAUAUAUAGAGUCCGGCUAUGGUGCUUGUAAAAGCACAAAGCAUUUGGUGCUUGUAAAUUUUUUACCGUUAGAUCUCUGCCUUCGAUCAUUUUUAUCCGUUAGAUUAUACU